rnacentral:lncRNA from 1 species
CCCGAGUGAUGGAAGGGCUCCAGUUGUCCUGGAAACGCCAGGGGGCGGCGCCGUGUGGAAGUAGCACCAGUUUGUUUUGUUAUUGAAGGUCACGUGGUGUGACAAAGCUCCACCCACCUUCCCCGUUACCUUCGAUUCAAGUGUCUCGAGCUCCUACUCCGGUCAGUUACUACAAAAUGGCUGCAGAGGCUCCGUCGUUAAAAAGACCUAACUGAACGCUUCAUGUGAAAAGAAGCAAAACAAACUCCAGAUGAGAACCAUUUGAUGGAAGAUAGAAAAAAGAAAAAAACAAGACGAGAAGAAAAAGACAGAAGCUGCUCAGAAAAAGGCCACAGAACAGAUAACCAAAGAACUGCCCCCACAAAGUGGCCAGAGAUCCCAGUAUGAUAAUCCCCUCUGGGGACACCUGCCAGCCAACAGCAGUACCACAAAUGCUGCAUCUUCCACGAGUCUAAGUGGCUGGGAUCAACAGAUCAUUAAGCAGAAGGACACUGAAUCUUGGCCUUCUGUUAACCUCAGCCAGAGCAAGGUCGCUUCGGGAGGAUGCCCUUUGGAAACUGACCCUGGUCACUUGACCAGCAGUAGCAGCAGCACUAGCA